GACGAACGCUGGCGGCGUGCUUAACACAUGCAAGUCGAACGGUAAGGCCCUUCGGGGUACACGAGUGGCGAACGGGUGAGUAACACGUGGGUGAUCUGCCCUGCACUUCGGGAUAAGCCUGGGAAACUGGGUCUAAUACCGGAUAGGACUCCUGGCUUCAUGGUUGGGGGUGGAAAGCUUUUGCGGUGUGGGAUGGGCCCGCGGCCUAUCAGCUUGUUGGUGGGGUAAUGGCCUACCAAGGCGACGACGGGUAGCCGGCCUGAGGGGGCGACCGGUCACACUGGGACUGAGAUACGGCCCAGGCUCCUACGGGAGGCAGCAGUGGGGAAUAUUGCACAAUGGGCGCAAGCCUGAUGCAGCGACGCCGCGUGAGGGAUGACGGCCUUCGGGUUGUAAACCUCUUUCAGCACCGACGAGGCGCAAGUGACGGUAGGUGCAGAAGAAGGACCGGCCAACUACGUGCCAGCCGCGCGGUAA
rnacentral:rRNA from 1 species